rnacentral:rRNA from 1 species
CAGUAGCCGCGGUAAUACGUAGGGUGCAAGCGUUAAUCGGAAUUACUGGGCGUAAAGCGUGCGCAGGCGGUUUGUUAAGACAGAUGUGAAAUCCCCGGGCUCAACCUGGGAACUGCAUUUGUGACUGGCAGGCUAGAGUAUGGCAGAGGGGGGUGGAAUUCCGCGUGUAGCAGUGAAAUGCGUAGAUAUGCGGAGGAACACCGAUGGCGAAGGCAGCCCCCUGGGCCAAUACUGACGCUCAUGCACGAAAGCGUGGGGAGCAAACAGGAUUAGAGACCCCCGUAGUCCCUGUCUCUUAUAC